GACCUAACCCUCAGGAUAAUUCUUGAGGUAUGGUCGAAAAGCGCGAUCAACGUAAAAACCCCGGCAUCAGGGGCGUUGAUCGCGUUACGUGGGGAAACCUGCGUAGGGGCCGUAAGGCUCAC
rnacentral:sRNA from 1 species